UGGGGAAUUUUGGACAAUGGGCGCAAGCCUGAUCCAGCCAUGCCGCGUGCGGGAAGAAGGCCUUCGGGUUGUAAACCGCUUUUGUCAGGGAAGAAAUCUUCUGGGUUAAUACCUCGGGAGGAUGACGGUACCUGAAGAAUAAGCACCGGCUAACUACGUGCCAGCAGCCGCGGUAAUACGUAGGGUGCAAGCGUUAAUCGGAAUUACUGGGCGUAAAGCGUGCGCAGGCGGUUAUGUAAGACAGAUGUGAAAUCCCCGGGCUUAACCUGGGAACUGCAUUUGUGACUGCAUAGCUAGAGUACGGUAGAGGGGGAUGGAAUUCCGCGUGUAGCAGUGAAAUGCGUAGAUAUGCGGAGGAACACCGAUGGCGAAGGCAAUCCCCUGGACCUGUACUGACGCUCAUGCACGAAAGCGUGGGGAGCAAACAGGAUUAGAUACCCUGGUAGUCCACGCCCUAAACGAUGUCAACUGGUUGUUGGGUCUUCACUGACUCAGUAACGAAGCUAACGCGUGAAGUUGACCGCCUGGGGAGUACGGCCGCAAGGUUG
rnacentral:rRNA from 1 species